rnacentral:rRNA from 1 species
GUAGGUGGCAAGCGUUGUCCGGAAUUAUUGGGCGUAAAGCGCGCGCAGGCGGUCCUUUAAGUCUGAUGUGAAAGCCCACGGCUCAACCGUGGAGGGUCAUUGGAAACUGGGGGACUUGAGUACAGAAGAGGAAAGCGGAAUUCCAAGUGUAGCGGUGAAAUGCGUAGAGAUUUGGAGGAACACCAGUGGCGAAGGCGGCUUUCUGGUCUGUAACUGACGCUGAGGCGCGAAAGCGUGGGGAGCAAACAGGAUUAGAUACCCUGGUAGUCCACGCCGUAAACGAUGAGUGCUAAGUGUUAGGGGGGUUUCCCGCCCCCCUUAGUGCUGCAGCUAACGCAUUAAGCACUCCGCCUGGGGAGUACGGCCCGCAAGGCUG